AAUGAACGCUGGCGGCGUGCCUAACACAUGCAAGUCGCACGAGAAAGGGGGUUUCGGCCCCCGAGUAAAGUGGCGCACGGGUGAGUAACGCGUGGGUGACCUACCCUGGAAUUUGGGAUAACACUGCGAAAGUGGUGCUAAUACCGGAUACGAUCCUUCAGCGAUGGAGGGUGAAAGUCGGCCUCUCGAAGAAGCUGAUGUUCUGGGAUGGGCUCGCGUCCUAUCAGCUAGUUGGUAGGGUAAUGGCCUACCAAGGCGACGACGGGUAGCUGGUCUGAGAGGAUGAUCAGCCAAACUGGCACUGGAACACGGGCCAGACUCCUACGGGAGGCAGCAGUGAGGAAUUUUGCGCAAUGGGGGAAACCCUGACGCAGCAACGCCGCGUGGGUGAAGAAGGCCUUCGGGUCGUAAAGCCCUGUCAGGUGGGAAGAAUGUCCCAGGGGUGAAUAGUCUUUGGGAGUGACGGUACCACCAGAGGAAGCACCGGCUAACUCCGUGCCAGCCGCCGCAGUAA
rnacentral:rRNA from 1 species